rnacentral:sRNA from 1 species
UUGACCUUUGUGGAGAUCGAAGUCCUCUAUUUUAUCCACAGAUCAAUUACAGCUCAUGCAGAUGUAGUGCAAGUUUCCUCACUACUGUCCUGCCCACUUGCCUCAAGUGGGUACUAGAGAGAUCAAUUUUAGUUCACUUUCCAAGCUCUUUGGCUUCC